CACUUUCUUCCACCCUCAUUAUUCCAAACCGUCAAAUUCUCUUACAAUCUAAAUUAUUCUCUCUUCCAAAAGCCAAACUCCCAAAUUCUCUAGAGAAAUCAGUCACAAUGUCUAACCCUUAAGAUAAACCAGGCACUCCUCCUCAAACCACUUCGUCUGAUUCUCCCACAUCUAUACAACCUCGUACAGCCCCCAGCAUAGGAGGAAACGUGUAAAAAUGUUCGCUCAUAAAACUGUGGCUACACGUGUAUUGUCAAAAAGACUGAAUGCACAAUUGAAGGCUAACCAAGCCCAAGAAUCUGAACACUCAGACGAUUCCUUCAAGUCUGCAAGUGAGGGG
rnacentral:lncRNA from 1 species